UACGUAGGGGGCAAGCGUUGUCCGGAUUUAUUGGGCGUAAAGAGCUCGUAGGUGGUUCGGUAAGUCGGAUGUGAAAUCUCCAGGCUCAACCUGGAGGGGUCAUUCGAUACUGCCGUGACUAGAGUUCGGUAGGGGAGUGUGGAAUUCCUGGUGGAGCGGUGAAAUGCGCAGAUAUCAGGAGGAACACCGGUGGCGAAGGCGGUUCUCUGGGAAUAUCCUGACGCUGAGGAGCGAAAGUGUGGGGAGCGAACAGG
rnacentral:rRNA from 1 species